rnacentral:tRNA from 1 species
CGCGGAGUGGAGAAGUUUGGUAUCUCGCGAGGCUCAUAACCUCGAGGCCGCUGGUUCGAGUCCAGCCUCCGCCA